rnacentral:rRNA from 1 species
UACAGAGGGGGCAAGCGUUGUUCGGAAUUACUGGGCGUAAAGGGCGCGUAGGCGGAUAUUUAAGUCGGGGGUGAAAUCCCGGGGCUCAACCUCGGAAUUGCCUUCGAUACUGGAUAUCUUGAGUUCGGGAGAGGUGAGUGGAAUGCCGAGUGUAGAGGUGAAAUUCGUAGAUAUUCGGCGGAACACCAGUGGCGAAGGCGACUCACUGGCCCGAUACUGACGCUGAGGCGCGAAAGCGUGGGGAGCAAACAGG